UAAAAGUGAAAGAAAAACUUAAUUCUAGGGUUCCCUAAUAAAAAUGAACUAGACCUUGCUCCUAACGUUAAGGACCACCAAAAACUCGAUAAAUCCAAAAUUAUUCGGACCGGUCUGGCCAGUUUGGAGCAGGCAUUGCCAAGAGGCCAAUCUCCGCGCUUAGACACCAAACCUUAAUCGGCCAGGUAAGCUUUCGCUUGCCUUAGACACCGAAAAGUCGGAAUAAUUAAAGAUUACCUCGUCUUUUAGGUACCUUCCUAGUUGAGCGCGAAAUCCUAGGGGCUAACGUCUAAUUCAAUUUUAUUAAAAGGCUAGGGAAAUGCAAAAUGAAGUAAUUAAAUCGUUGUGGGCCAAGGAAAGAGUGAUGAAAUCCCUUCCCUUAUCUUAUGAGUGGGUUUUGCCCUUAAGAUUUAUUUAAAAUGAUGCACCACACAACGAGAUAAUAAAAGCGGUAAACAAAUAUGGAUGAUUUAAACUACGUGUCCUAAUCUAGAGAAAGAAAGAAAUUAACGUACCUUGGGGUCCUCCAGCGAUCACCACAAUUAAAGGUACGAAAAUUUAAAAACAAAAAUUAAAAUCUAAAUGAUGUGCCCUAAGUGUAAA
rnacentral:lncRNA from 1 species